rnacentral:rRNA from 1 species
UGGGGAAUUUUGGACAAUGGACGCAAGUCUGAUUCAGCAAUGCCGCGUGCAGGAUGAAGGCCUUCGGGUUGUAAACUGCUCUUGUACGGAGCGAAAAGGUCUGCCCUAAUACGGUGGGCUCAUGACGGUACCGUAAGAAUAAGCACCGGCUAACUACGUGCCAGCAGCCGCGGUAAUACGUAGGGUGCGAGCGUUACUCGGACUUACUGGGCGUAAAGCGCUCGCAGGCGGUUAUAUAAGACAGAUGUGAAAUCCCCGGGCUCAACCUGGGACCUGCAUUUGUGACUGUAUAGCUAGAGUACGGUAGAGGGGGAUGGAAGUCCGCGUGUAGCAGUGAAAUGCGUAGAUAUGCGGAGGAACACCGAUAGCGAAGGCAAUCCCCUGGACCUGUACUGACGCGCAUGCACGAAAGCGUGGGGAGCAAACA